rnacentral:misc_RNA from 1 species
GAAAUGCGAUAAGUAAUGCGAAUUGCAGAAUUCCGUGAGUCAUCGAAUCUUUGAACGCACAUUGCGCCCGCCAGUAUUCUGGCGGGCAUGCCUGUCCGAGCGUCAUUUCCACCAUCAAGCCCUCCCGGGCUUGCGUUGGGUCCCUGCGGCUGCCCGCAGGCCCCGAAAGACAGUGGCGGGCUCGCUGGCACCACCGAGCGCAGUAGAAUGUCCUCGCUCUGGUCGUGCCGCGUGUCCCAGCCGUGAAACAACCCCCCUUCCACAAGGUUGACCUCGGAUCAGGUAGGAAUACCCGCUGAACUUAA